rnacentral:tRNA from 2 species
GCGCCCGUAGCUCAAUUGGAUAGAGUGUUUGACUACGGAUCAAAAGGUUAGGGGUUCGACUCCUCUCGGGCGCGCCA